rnacentral:rRNA from 1 species
CGGCCGCGUCGACAGUAACGCGUGAGAAUCUGCCUUCAGGACGGAGACAACAGUUGGAAACGACUGCUAAGCCCCGAUGAACCGAAAGGGAAAUAUUUAUAGCCUGAAGAUGAGCUCGCGUCCGAUUAGCUAGUUGGCGGAGUAAAAGCCCACCAAGGCGACGAUCGGUAGCUGGUCUGAGAGGACGAUCAGCCACACUGGGACUGAGACACGGCCCAGACUCCUACGGGAGGCAGCAGUGGGGAAUUUUCCGCAAUGGGCGAAAGCCUGACGGAGCAAGACCGCGUGGGGGAAGAAGGCUCUUGGGUUGUAAACCCCUUUUCUCUGGGAAGAAAGUUGUGAAAGCAACCUGACGGUACCAGAGGAAUCAGCAUCGGCUAACUCCGCGCCAGCAGCCGCGGUAAGACG